AUAUAACAGCAGUAGCAGAAAUAAGGUUGAUACAAUAAUUAAUGAAGCUCUACGCUACACCAAUUAGUGGUACCAUACCAUGCAUGAUCCAUCACACAGAGGAAAAAAAAAAGAUUUUAUUUAGCUUACUAUAUACGUAUUGCCAGCAGCGUGCAUGCUAGUACGGGGGAGGGGGAGGAUGAGGAGGGCGGUUCCAAGGCGGCGUUGGCCUGUAACGAUCAUAGUUGUAAGGAGGUGCAGGAUCGAGGGGCCCCGAGGCGUUGCAAAAGAAGGGGGUGGAGAGUUAUGGUGAUGGUACCGAGGAGGUGGUGGAGGAGGCAAAUGGAACAAUUCGGGGCGUGGUUGAAAUAUAAGUGUGCAACCCAAGAGGGGGGUGAAUUGGAAUUUAAAAAAUUAUCCUAGCAAAUCCACACAACAAGCAAUCUAAUGUCUUAAUAAAAAUUGAAAACAAUAAAUUCAAUCAUGCACAAUAUUAAAAGAGUAAGGGAAGAGAAAACAAACACAAUGAUUUUUACGUGGUUCGGCAAUCCCCGCCUACGUCCACGCCUCCAAGCUCACAGGGCUUGAGGAUUUCACUAAGCUAGCCUCUCAAGGCUUCAAACGCUUACAAUUGACUUCCAAGGUGUCAAUGGACCUUUACAACAAGAGAUUAUCCCCAAUCUCUUAACCCAAGUGUAUCCCAACACUUACAAUCUUUUAACUUGAUUUUACAAAAAAAGAUUACAAAUGAAUCUCUCUCACACAAUGUGUUUGAUCACAAGUAAAAGCUCAAUGUGUGAAUGAAUGAGAUGAAUACAAGAAUUUAAAGCUCAAUGAAAGUUGUAUUCUCAAUAUUUUGCUCAAUGAUGAUCGUUCGAAUUCAUCUUGUUUGAAUUGGAUUGAGCUUAUUUAUAGUUGGAGCUGAAAAACUAGCCGUUAUAGACUGUCUGCUCGAAAACGGUUCGCCGUUAACCAUUAACGGUUAACCGUUUAGGCUGGUCAAAGUUACCGUUGGGUCAAUUUUCAAAUAAACGGUUAGCCGUUUAGGAUUACCCUUUCGCCGUUAAUUUUCAGAGACCUGUAAAACAAAUUUGGUUUAACCGUUCUUACUAAACGGUUCAAGGUUAGCAAUCUGGAAAUAAUCGGUUAACCGUUUUCAGUAAACGGUUCACCGUUAGUUUCCAGAAUCAUCAUUUUAACAAUACUUUGCAGAACAUGCUUUCUGGAAAUUAUCGGUUAGCCGUUUUAAAUAAACGGUUAGCCGUUUGCUACAGUGAUUGCUACAGUGAAAAUAUUUUCUAAAUUUACAGUUUGACCCCAAAACUUUAUAAAACUAUAUUACGGCCCAAAACGUUAUGAAACUUUGCACAUAUGUCCAAUUUCAGAAUUUCUAAAUAAUACUUUGUUAAUCCUAAAACUUUCUGAAAUUAUGGUAUAGCCCAAAAUACUAUGACACUUUUCAAAUAAGUCCUUUACCAAGAUUUCAAGCAAUACAUGUUUAUUUCAAAGUUUUCAAAAUUCUUUCAAUUAAACCAUAAACUUUGAAAAACAACCAAUUUCAUAAAAUCAUUUUUCCAUUAAAUAUGAAACAUUUAUAAUGUGAAAAUAAUGAUUUAUUUAAAAAGAAUAAAAACAAUCAAUUUCAUAAAAUCAUUUUUCCAUUAAAUAUAAAACAUUUAUAAUGUGAAAAUAAUGAUUUAUUUAAAAAGAAUAUUAAAUAAUUUGAGCUUAAAAGAUUAAUCAUUCUUAAUCUUGUUUGUUAUCAUCAAAAUCAAUAUUAUGGAAACAUAUAUGUUAACAGUGGUGGCGGUGGUGGUGGAGGUGAAGGACCGUAAACGUGAGGUGGCGGUGGUGGGUGAGGAGCAUAUGGGUCUGCUACUGGUGGUGGUGGUGGUGGAGGACUUGGACCUGGACCUGGACGGUGGUGUCUAUGAAAUGCCAUGUUUUUGAAAGUUAGGUGAUCAAUACAAAGUGUUGUGCUGUUGUUUUUGUUUUAAGGGAUUUGGAGUUGUUCGUAUGUACACUAGAAACAUGUAUUUCCUUUGACGGUUUGUUGGAUGACGUGCAGAUGUUUGUGCCUCGGCUUCCUCAGCCAAUCAGAAUUUUAUUUUUGUCAAAAUUCGUUUCGUCUCCUCAUAUACUCCGUUUCAAGAGUGCAUAAUAUUUUAUUGACUAUUAUUAUUAUUAUUAUUAUUAUUAUUAUUAUUAUUAUUAUUAUUAUUAUUAUUAUUAUUAUUAUUAUUAUUAUUAUUAUUAUUAUUAUUAUUAUUAUUAUUAUUAUUGGUUUUGACUAUUUUAUGAUGUUUAGACUUUAGACUACAAGAUAUGAUGUCAAAAAUAGACCCAUGUAUAAUAAUAUUAUGUUGUUAUCUUUCAUUUUGAUAACAAAAUCUCUUCGUAUCAUCGCAGAUUAUUCAUUUUCAUUUUACGAAAAGUAAAAAAAAAAAGCAUGGUUGUAAAGAAACUGCACCAUUAAUUAAAUCGUGAAAAUAUUAUUAAUCAUUACUAUAUGAUUUUCUAACUUUCUAAUACCAGUAACCAUAUUAUAAUAUACUAACACACUUUUUUUUCAAUUACACCAAAUUAUUAUUAUUAUUAUUUUCAUAAUAAAUUGAAGCUGUAAUAAUAUUUUUAGCACCAUUCCAAUUUAUUCAAUAAAUAUAUAAUUUAUUAUUUUAUAAAAUAGGCGGCCUCUAACUCUAGUUGAAAAAAAAAGGAAAAAAAAUUGAAUCGAGAACAUGUUUGAGAAUACAACAAAAAUUAUACCAUUCAAAGAAAAAUUAUAAAACCUAAGGGGUAUUAACAAAAAUUCCUUGGACUAGGCCAGGCAAUGUCUGCCACUGGUGGAAAGUAGAUAUUUAUUUGCAUUUGUGGUUGUAAUCGAAAAUGGUAGGGAUAGUGAAUCUUUUAGGUGUAUUUCUUACGGGUGUCGUAAUUUUGACAUCGACUAAAACUUGUUUAAAUUUUGACAUUUUUAUUAGUGCAUUGAAUGUAACGUGUUGCUAUUACGAUGUAGGGAUGGCAAUAGGGAGGGGAGGGGAGGGGACCAAUCUCCCUAUACCCAUUCCUGAUAUUUUGUUAUGUCCCCGUUCCCUCCGCGUCCCCGUCAGAAUUGCUUAAGAGAAUCUUUAUCCCCUCUCUGAAUAAUAACAGGGGAUCCCCGAGGGUCCCCGGUCCCCGAAUAACUAAUAGUCUAAUACAUUUUUUUUUAUUUUUUUUUAAAUUAAUCAUAUUAAAAUAAAAAAUUCAGAUAAAAAUAAAGUUUAAAAUAUAUCUUGCAUUAAUAUUGAUCCAUUACAAAGUCACAUUCAAAAUAUAAAUUAUUAAAAUAAUUAUCUUUGUCAAUGACUCAAUCUUCAUAAUCCUACAAUAAAAAGAAAAAAAAUUAUUUUUAUAUCGGUAAUAAAAUAAAUAAAAUAAAUGUAGAUACUUAAUUAAUAUUUUUAAUAAAACUAUUUACCUCCUGCUCCUCCUGUUCUUCCUCGAGAAAUGUGGCAAAUUGAGAGCUAGUCUCAGAUUUCAAACCUAAAACAAUGAAAAUGAUAUAAGUAACGUAACUUAUAAGUGCAAAUAUUAAUUACUGUAUAAUAUAAUUACAAUGUAAAAUAAACUCAUACUGCUAUUGUAAGCUCGUAACCAACUUUGACAGCACAUUAAGGCCUCCAAUGUGUUUGGAUGAAGUUUGUUACGGUGUGCACUCACAACUCUACCACCGGUGCUAAAAGCUGAUUCAGAAGCAACUGUUGUAAUUGGAAUUGCCAAAAUAUCUCUAGCAAUUCGAGCUAAUGUAGGAUUCGAAUUAGGAUUAGAACUGUUGUAAAUUAUAAUUAGGCAGCUCUCUCCUGUAUCAUUGUGGUUUAGAUUAAAAAUUUAAGACUUUAAUUAGUUAAUUAAGUUUAAAAGUUUAAUAAUAUAACUAUUUUAAUAUUUAUUAUUUUUAACAAUAUUUAUAAUUUUGUUAUUUAUUUAUUAGUAAUUUUAAAAAUAAAAAUAAAAUUAAAAAUUAAAAUGGGGAAAUGGGUAGGGGAUGGGGAUUCCACCUCAUCCCCGUCCCCUCCCCGAAUAAAAAAUUGGGUAAAAAUUUUUCCCGUCCUCUCCCCGAAUAAAAAAUUGGGUAUAAAAUUAUCCCCGUACCCCCCCCCCCCCCGAAUGAGGAAAAUCCCCGAGGGUACCCGUCCCCGUGGGAAUUUUUGUCAUCCCUAUUACGAUGUCACGAAGUCAAGACUCUGUCCUGCUUUCUGCUUCGGCGUUUGUGAUUUGGCUUUGCCAACACCUUCUUCCCUUUCUAAUAUUGUAUUUCCUCCUAUGGUAGGGUGAAUAUUUACUAAUGCUGCAGUGCACACGUCACGAGAACUGGGCUUUCGGUUUGCACAGAUCGAACCCUGGGCUCUUGUUAAGUUUUAGCGCCCCCCCCCCCCCCCCCCAAUACCCAAAUACCAUCCAAACGGAUAAAUAACAACAAUGGAAAAUUCUCAUAGCACCUCUUUUAAAUUUUAUUUUUUUUUCCUAAAAAAUGAUGCUAUAAAAAAAAAACCAUAAUUUUUACUCUUCGAACCUAUCUUUAUAUUCAACGUAAUUUUAUUAAAUCCUAAAUAUAUUCUCAAGCAAUGGAUUUUUGUAAUCAUGUUUGUUCUUUUGCUGGAAUUUAAAUUGCAAUGGCAGCUAGGGGUGGGCAAUUUAUUCGACCUGAUCCAAUCCGAUUAAAAAAAAAUCAAGUUAGGAUCGGAUCAGAUGGAAGAUAAUAUCCGAACGGGUUGGCUAAAAAAAAAAACACACGCAAGACACUCAAACACCACCCACUCAUUCACACAGUCACACCACUCUCAGCCCACUCAAACUCAAACCUACAACAAUGAGCAGCCUACAGCCAACACUCUCGUCUCUCUCAACUCAACUUCACUACUUCAGUUCUCAUCUCGCUCUCGUCUCUCUCUCAAGUCUCAACUCUCGAGAUUCAAGAAAGAAAAUAGAAUUGUGACAAACACACUCUAAAAUAUUUUGCAAAGAAAUAUCAAAUGGAUGAAAAGAUAUAAAUGAAGGAUUCCUAAACCAACAGAAGUGGCAGUGCCUUUCUUUAAGCGCAUUCUCAAUCUUGCACGAGUGACUGAUGUUACUUACAAGGAUGAUAAUGGCUACACCAAUUCUUAUGUGAUCAAAGACUAUAUCACCCACUGCUUGAGAAGCCUGUUCUCUUUUGAGUAGUUUUUGCGAUGCAGAUUACAUCCUAUAUAAACUAUUAAUGUUGUUUUUGGAAUAAGCUCUGAAAUUUGUUCCUCAGAGAGCUUUUUUGCUGCUGUCAUCACAAUUAUCAAAUUCUUCCGUACAAUUAGUAAAGGCUUCCCUGUUUAUAUAUAUAUAAAUAAAAGAAAUCACCCAACAUAGUGUUGUUUAACUGAAAAAGGAAAUUCAAGCAUCCAAAAUCAAAAUAUCCAAAAUGAAAAUAAGGUACCUAAUACUUGAAAGAAAGGGAUAUUCAAUACCCGUUUCAAAUCGUGCAUAAUCAUCUAGCAUGGCUCUCAUUGUCCCUCUGCAGCGCCGACUUUUUCCAUUAUUUUCUGCCCUUCUUCACCUUCGUCAUGAACCGAUCAAGACCGAAUGGAUCAGCUUCUUCAGCCUCCUUCUCAAACUUAACCGGUCCGUCCCUCGUACCAGACCUCUCAGAUGUACCUGCAAAUGCCUUGUCGGGUUUAAACCGAUCAGUCUUUCUAAUCUUCUCCAACUGCUCAUCCGCAUUUGCUCCAUAAAUUUCAGCAUCAGCAUCUUUUUUGGGCCUGUAAAGGGUUGAAAGAGUCGGCUGUGCUGUAAACAAGCCUUUGUCAUACACAUUAUACUGAUCACCGUCAGUGGCAAAACCAGAGUCCAUUCCUUUCUUCUGAUUAAAAAGCCUUGCGUCAUGAGUAACCUCACCCGCUCUGCCUCCGCCACCAAAAGAGGCCAUCCCAAGGGCAACUUUCUCGCUAACAUCCCGAUCUCUGUCUCUAACAACCUUACUAUUCUUCUUCCCCAUAGCAACAUCCUUGGCCAGCAAAUUUCUCUCCCUCUUCCUCUCGCGACGUCUCUCCUCACGAAUUCUCUCCCUCUCCCUUUCCCUCUCCCUCAGCAAUCCCUGCUCGCUUUCCUUCAAUGUCUCCAUUGCCUUACGUGCUAAAUCCCGUAGCUGCUGCUCUUUCCUUUCCUUCUCCUUCGUGAGCAUCUCCAUCUGCACCUUGAAUCUUAUUUCAAUUGCCUCCCUCGCCUUCUGCUCUGCCAAAUAAAGAGCCUCCGACAAUUUAGCAAAUCCCUCAUUUACCUGAACCUCCAGAAGCCCUCUUCCUUCGGCAGCGAGCUGCUUAUCCAGCGGAAUUGUAAACCGCUGUGGGUUCUUCCAAUUUGAUAUACAUGGUGGGAUUCUCCAAUCCAGCUGAUCUUUCACAGUCAUAGGCCUAGGAGGGGAAUGCAUGACCGGUACUGGCGGAGAUCCCGAAGCUUUCGGCACACGCUUGUGCUUCAACUUUGGUGGCUCAAGUGGGUCCAAAGGCAUCGCCACCACUCUCAAAAUCCUCCUUUUUAGGGAUGGCAAUGAAUUGGAUUUGAUCCAAGAUCCAUGUAAUUCAAAUCCAAUCGGAUCGGAUUUGGAUCGGUUUAAAAUAGAUUUGGAUCAGAUGUGCGGAUUUAAGACGAAUCUGGAGUAGAUAUGGAUCUAUCGUAAUAUUUAAAUCCAUAUUCAUAUCCACUCAUCUUUUAAUUUUAUUUUAUUUUAAAAGUUUCUUAAUAAUUGUGGAAUGAUAAUAUGAUAAUAAAUUUUAUUCAUAGCAUAUAUAGUAGUAUUUACCAUGUAUUUAAACUCUUUUUUUUUUUUAGAAGAAUGUAUUUAAACUCUUAAAACUUAAAGGUUAGUUUUGUAAAUUUAAAGGUCAGCCAGCCUCAAAGCAUGUACAUGCAAUAUUCAAAUUGCAAUCCAAGUAAUAUAACCUGGUAAUUUAUUUUAUCAUAUUGGCCAAAUAAUUUUUAAGGAAUAUAGUUAUUCAUAUAUUUAGUCAAAUAUGGUCAUAAUAAAAAUAAUAAAGGACUGAAUAUAAAUCAUAUUUAAUUUAUAUGUCAUUAUUUAAUGUUGUAGGAAUGAGGGUAGGUGUAUCGUGGAUAUUAGAAUGAUGAAGGAGACAAUAGAAUAUUAGAUUGAUCUUACUCCUGCAAUUACUUCUAAAUGAUAUUUUAUUAUCUUUCUUAUUUGUUGUUUUGGUAUAAAAGUAUAAGCUACAAUAUUUAUUAUAUUUUUUAGAAAAAUUAUAUAAUUUAUUUGUUAUCAAUACAUUUUAGCCUUCAAUUUUCAAUCUAAAAAAUUAUUACUUUUUUAUUACGGAAUUUUAGAAUUCAUGAUGGAUCUAGAGCAGAUUUGGAUUUUAAUUUUUUUUCAGAUUUGGAGCGGAUAUAGAUAUUUAUUUCUUUUUUGGAUCUGGAUAUGGAGCGAAAAAUAUGGAUUCAUAACAGAUCUGGAGCAGAUAUGGAUCUUGAUUUUUAUUAUGGAUUUGGAUCUGGAACAAAUACGGAUCUUAAUUUUUAUUAUAGAUUUGGAUCUGGAGCAAAAUAAAUCCAACACAUAUCUACCUCAUUGCCAUCCCUACUCCUUUUAGCCCCAGAAUAGAAGUCCACCGAUUGUUGUGAUGGUCUGUACAUAAUAAAUUUGGACUCUAAUGACUGCGUAGGUGCAGCAUUCACAACACUGUUAACAAUCUUUUCAAGUUCAGCUUUUGUUACAGGAGUAGUCACGUCAAUCUCAUCUUCUUGAUCAGGAAAAGCGCUACCAUCAUCAUCAUCGAAAUCCUCAAGUUUCCGUGGAAGUAUCACCAUGUUACAAAGAUUUCUUGCUUGUCAAUCAAGCCUGUGAUUAGUCCCAAGCAAUUUAAGGGUUCCUCAAGGGCUGAAAAAGAAUCUUGUGUUUUUUGUUAUCGUACACAACCAGCAAAUUUCUCUCCCAGUAGCGGCGACUCUGUUUUAAGAUUUGCUAAUGCUAUGCUAGUUUGCUAACUUGUAGCGGAGGUAAUCUCACUAAUGCUAAAACUAGAUAUCCUGAUGUAAAAACUUUAAACACAAAAAAAGUGCUCGUUUUGAAAAAUUAUUUGAGAUUACAACCUUAUUUAUUAGUUUUAAUUAUUACUCAAAAAAGCUAUUACAAUAAUUGAAAUCCUAGUCAAAACUAAAAUAAUAAUAAAAACUAAUUAAUAUGGCAACAGAUAAGACAAAUCCUAAACAAAUUAGAAAUACCAAUUAAAAAGAGGAAAAUUUCGGAUUAGAACAAAAAGAAAGGGCAAUAAUCUUUAUCCGUAUCCGUAGAAAAUAAGGAAAAUUUUUUAUGUAGAUAAUAAAGACUUGCCCACGGUAGUGUCCUAAGAAAGUAAGGAAAACCAAUCUAUAUAAAGAGACUUGCCUGUGCUUGUCGAAAAGCAUUAUACCUUCUUCUUUUAAUUAGCCUGCUAGCUAGCUCCUUAGUAAUCAGUCCCAAAUUUUCAGCUUUCUUAACUUCUUCUCCGUUACCUUAUUCAUCAUCUUCAUUAAAACAAGAAAACAGGAGAAAAAAAAUGCCUGGUGUUUCAAGAAUUGAUAAGGGUAAUGGCAGAGUGUACCCUGGAUACCUUACCCCAUUCGUCGCAAUCACAUGUAUCGUUGCUGCCAUGGGUGGCCUCAUCUUUGGUUACGACAUUGGGAUUUCUGGUAAAUAUAUUUAUACUUACAUACAUAUUAACUAGCUAAUUAAGUACUGUAGUAUUGUGAAUUAUGAGUUAUGCUGACGGUUUAAUCAAAAUAUUAACCUAGCUAACUGCAUAAAUAAUAUAACGCAGGUGGUGUGACCUCAAUGCCUUCGUUUUUGAAGAGUUUUUCCCAUCGGUGUACGAGAAGCAACAAGUAAACUCGUCAGCGAAUCAGUACUGUCAAUAUAACAGCGAGUCGUUGACUUUGUUCACGUCUUCGCUAUACUUGGCUGCUUUGAUAGCAUCGCUUGUAGCAUCAUCGGUGACAAGGAAAUUCGGAAGAAAGUGGUCCAUGUUAUUCGGUGGGGUUCUGUUUCUUGCUGGUACAUUAAUCAAUGGCUUGGCCCAAGACGUUUGGAUGCUUAUUGUUGGCCGUCUUUUGCUCGGUUUCGGUAUCGGCUUCGCUAAUCAGUCUGUGCCACUCUACCUCUCUGAGAUGGCCCUCUAAAUACAGAGGAGCCUUGAACAUUGGGUUUCAAUUGUCAAUCACCGUUGGAAUUUUAGUGGCCAACCUGUUGAAUUUUUUCUUUGCUAAGAUUAAGGGUGGCUGGGGAUGGCGUUUGAGCUUAGGUGGUGCCAUGGUCCCUGCCCUUAUCAUCACCGUCGGUUCAGUUUUCCUCCCGGACACACCAAAUUCAAUGAUUGAACGCGGCCAGCACGAUGAAGCCAGAAAGCAACUUAGAAAAGUUCGCGGUGUUAAUGAUGUUGACGGAGAAUUUAAUGAUCUUGUUGCAGCCAGUGAAGCAUCCAAGCAAGUUGAACAUCCUUGGAGGAAUUUGUUGAGAAGGAAAUAUAGGCCUCACCUUACCAUGGCUGUUCUGAUUCCCUUCUUCCAGUAAUUCACUGGCAUUAAUGUUAUCAUGUUUUACGCUCCUAUUUUGUUCGACACAAUUGGUUUCGGCAAUGAUGCAUCACUCAUGUCCGCUGUGAUCACCGGUCUUGUCAAUGUUUCCGCAACAUUCGUAUCAAUUUGUACUGUCGACAAGUGGGGAAGAAGACGUCUUUUCCUUGAAGGUGGUGCUCAAAUGUUAAUCUGCCAGGCCGUUGUUGCUGCUUGCAUCGGUUAUAAAUUUGGAGUUGAUGGGAAUCCUGGAGAGUUGCCUGUUGAUGCUUAAAUCUGCUCGCCUUUAGACCGACCAGAUUCUUUCACCAACGUUUGUGUUAUCUACUGUUGCUCGUUCACUGGGAUUGGAAUCGUCCUUCUUUCUCACAAUAGACCUGCGCUCACCAAAAACGGAUCAGAGACGCCGGUGGUUUUGCCGGCGUAAACCCUCCGAUGCUUAAGUUAGCUCAAGGUGUUUACGGGAAAACAGUGCAAUUUAGAUCUCAAAAUGGUUUCUAAAUUAUUCGGAGUUUAUAAGAAAAUAGCCUGAUUUCAAUUUGGCAGCGUUUCCCCUCUCUCAAUUUUUCCAUCCCCUUCUUCAUCGAUUUCUUCUUCUUUUAUAGCCGAUGUCCCCACGUUCCCGCUUGCCCUUCAUCCCACCUUUUUUGGGUAGUGGUAGCCUCUCAUGGGGCUCUAACUGCUGCAUUAUGGGCAAACGUGGGAUCUCGCGUCUCCCGCAACGGUUCUGGGAAAGCACAACUACCGUGAUUCUGUGAGAUCGUGUUUCCGCUUUUCGGGGGACGGGUACCGGCUCGGUAUGUGGCUCUGGUCAGUAUUCGUCUCUGAUCGACUCAUGUUACCCCUGUUCUGCUCGUACCAUUUGGCUGAGGUGAUUCAUGCCGGGGUGGAAGUAGUAUCCUGGCCGACCUGGUGCUUUUAUUUGCUUAACACCAGUCCCCCAGUUUCUGGUCUUGUGAGUGAAAUGAGUCAAGAGUAGAAACUGAUAGUCGACUCUUACCAAUCCGGGGGUUUCUCCUCUGGUCUUCUGUCUACCGGGACGAACCUGAGCAAUUCAUUUUUCUUCGGGUGAGAUUUUGAUCUGGGCGUGGGCCUAAAUGAGCAUGUCCACUGCGCACCUGGGCUUGCAUCUAGCCCGGCCUCUUGUAACGGUUGGUGACAUGGCAUCUCCCGAUUCUUCGCAUUUGAAAUUUGAAACGACGGGCUAUCUGUCCUCGAUGUACGGUGAGUGAGCUGGCGUCCCCAUCACUUAAAUGCUUCCAUUUCCCCCCUUUUCGUUUUAAAUCCCUAGACUGGAGUCUUCACCAUCUUGUUACUCGUUUCUCCACCGUUAACCAAAUUUUCUCUGGACUUUGCUCACACUUCCAGCGUCCGGAGUAUCCAUUUGCUGGGUGUUUUCUCUGUCGCGGCGGCUCUAUCAGUGUCAGUCUAUUCCAGGUAUAGCCUUUAACAUUUUCUUCGGCUGUUGUUGAUUGGGUUCUGUGUUGCCCCUUUGUGUCCAUAUACUCGAGUUUUCUCUGUCUUCUUUUGGGAUUCCGGUAUGUCAAAUCGGAAGAGGAAGUUAAUUGUUGAUGAGGGUGAUGACGAAUCAGGGGAUUCAGGCCUCAACGUGCCAAUACCCACCGAUUUUUUAGGUCCCUCCAGUAGUGUAGGUCCUCCUCAUGGUAGGGAUACCCUUGAGUACCCACGCCCCCUGGUUGUCUCUCCCUCUCCCGAAUUAAAGCUUGUAGGAAAUAGGGGUGGACCUGCGUCGGGCUCUGGUGAGAACCACAGCUUUGGUGGGGUUGGGAUCCCUGAAGGAGUUGGUGAUGGUAAGGGGAGCAGUUCCGGACCGAGCAGACCUGCUCAGAAAAGGAACCUAGGCCAUAGGGUGGAGGCUGAUUCCUACCCUAUUGAUUUCAUGGCUUGUGCCACCACCCCCACCGAUCUAUUUAAACUUAGGAAUCUCUACAACAUCCCCAACGAGGUUCUUCUUGUAGUUCCUGGAAAAGGUGAUGUCCCUAGUCGGCCUCCGAAAUGGUAUGUGACGAUGCACUUGGAGAGUUUCAGACUAGGAGCUCGGCUACCCCUUCAACCUUACUUUGCCAAGAUACUGGGCGGUAUGCACCUGGCCCCAGGUCAGCUAUACCCAAAUGGGUGGAGGGUUCUCUCGGCAAUGUUUGUGUUGUGGGAGAGGUGCGGGUCGGAGGAGCCUUCUCUUGUUGAAGUGAAACAUCUGUACCAGCUGCGGAGUAGCCCGAAGGAGGCAGGCUGGUACUAUUUCAUGUCCAGUUCCGCAAAGAGGAAACCGAUCACUGGGUUUCCAUCUUCAUGUAAAAAUUGGAAGAACAAAUUCUUCUUUGCUGGAGGGAACUGGUGUCCAGCGGUUCAGUCGCUUGGUGGGGACAUUUAUCUUCCCACCCAUUUUGUCACUCCAGGUCGUUCAUUUUUGCCUAUAUUCUUUCUCAAAUUGCCACUCAUUGGGUUCUUUAACCUUGUUUGUUUUUUCAGAAUCGUGGGGUUUGGUGAAGGAUCUUGAAGACCGACCUUUGCUUCAGGUGGAAACUGCUCUGUUGAACGCGUCUACUUGCCAAGACCUCCUGUCGCCAACAAACUUGGUCGGUUCCCGCUUAGUAGAUAUUGCCACUGGAAUGGAUAACAAGAUCCUCAGCGCGUUGAGCAGAAAGCGUGGUCGGGCUCCGAGUAGCUCCAGCAACCCUCCUCCUCCUCCAAAGAAACCCAUCGUCGGUCCUUCCAAGGCGCCAGUUCCUGCUCUGCCCCCUCCUCCACCUCGAAAGAGUGGUGGGGAUAAAACCUCCGACAAGAGUCCUGAGGUCAGCUUGCAGUCUGGGGACCGCUCUUCUCCUCUUCCAUCUCGGGAUCAAGGUGACUACCUGAGCCCAUAUCAGAAGGAUUACAGAAAAUCGGUUGGGCCCAAGAUGGUGAAGGACAUCGAGAGCAUGAGCCUCUCCGAGUUAGCUGUUUCUGUUCAAAGAGUCUCCUUCAGGCUGGCCACAAUGGUCUCGUGCUACAAGACCGGGUCCGCGCGUCAUGAGAGGAAGCUCCAAGCUGAUAACCAGGAGUUGAAAAAGAAAGUCGAAUCUGCUGACCGUUCCAAGGAGAAACUGGCCGAGCUGAACAAGCAGCUUACGGAGCUUGAGGAGAAAGUUGCUGUUGCUGAGUCCACUUCCUCCAAGCUUGAGGAUGAGUUGGGUGAUCUGAAGUCCGAUCUUCAGGCUACCCAAAGUGAAAGGGAUACUCUGAGGGUCGCCCUUGAAGGAGAGAUCAAAUCCCUGAAGGACCAGCUGGCUGAGGAGAAAAGCAAAUCAGCUGACGUGGAUGAUCGGCUGGAUGCCGAGUAUGACUCCGGGGUUGCUUUCAGCUAUAAGUGCAUCAUGUCUGUGCUUAAGGAAGAAUAUCACGAGCUCGACAUGAGCAAGCUGGAAUCUGGGGUGGAGAGGUAUAUGGCUGGGGCCGGCUAGGGAGAUAAGGAGCAGGUGGAGGUUCCUUUUGAUGAGGUGCGGGAGGAAGGAGCUGGUCAGUGUGUUUUUGAAGUGGGACAAGGGUACGCGCCUCCUCCUCCCGUUAUUGCUGAUCUUCCACCUCCCGAGAUAGCCGACGCUUCUCCUGCUGAGGCCGUUGACCUUCCUAAUCCUUAGGUCUAUUUUUGUAAAAAACUCUAGAUUGUUAUUCGCUUUGUAAACAUUUGAACAUUUAUAAAUUUUUAAAUGCUCUCAAUUGGCUUUCUUGUCUGGUUUUGCUCACGGGUUGCUUCUGCAAAACAACUUGGCAAUUUAUCUGAUUUUGCCUGUUGGUUUUUUAGUGCAUUGAGCAGGAAUAGGCAUCCGUUUGCCUUAGCGAAAUUUUCGCAAAAUUGCCUGCUGGUCUUCGAUGACCGAGCAGGAGCGGACACUUAUUUGCCUUAGUAGAAUUGUCGUAAAUUUAGCUGCUGUUUUUCGUUGACCGAGCAGAGGUAGGCACUUAGUCGAAUUUUCGUAGCUUUAGCUGCUGGUCUUUCGUUGACCGAGCAGAAGAAGGCACUGAUUUGCCUUUGUAGAAUUUCCGUAGCUUUAGCUGCUGGUCUUUCGUUGACCGAGUAGAAGUAGGCACUUGCCUUAAUCGAAUUUUCGUAGCUUUAGCUGCUGGUCUUUCAUUGACCGAGCAGAAGUAGGCACUGAUUUGCCUUUGUAGAAUUUCCGUAGCUUUAGCUGCUGGUCUUUCGUUGACCGAGCAGAAGUAGGCACUUGCCUUAGUCGAAUUUUCGUAGCUUUAGCUGCUGGUCUUUCGUUGACCGAGCAGAAAUAGGCACUUUGUUGCCUUAGUAGAAUUGUCGAAGCUUUAGCUGCUGGUCUUUCGGUGACCGAGCAGAAACAGGCACUUUAUUGCCUUAGUAGGAUUUUUUGCAGAAUUAGCUGCUGGUCUUUAGUGGACCGAGCAGAAGUUGGCACUUACUUGCCUUAGUAGAAUCUUCGUAGGUUUAGCUGCUGGUCUUUCGUUGACCGAGCAGAAGUAGGCACUUACUUGCCUUAGUAGAAACUUCGUAAAUUUAGCUGCUGGUCUUUCGUUGACCGAGCAGAAGUAGGCACUUGCCUAGGUAAAACUUUUAUUGAUUAGACUAGCAGGGGGAUUUCAUGCUGAAUUCAUCUUUAUUUGAAAUUUGAAAGCAUUACAAGAAUACUGGAUACAUACAUGUGCAGCAAAGCCAUGAUGCAGUUAACAUUGAUAUCUUGUCAAAAUGGAGAUUUAGUAGAGCACUUUGCUUACUGGAAAUACUUCUUCAAGUGUUCGGCGUUCCAUGACCUCUUCACUUCUCGUCCAUCUUGGUGUGCUAAUUUAUAGGCUCCUGGUCCAGUGGCUCGUAUCACCCGGUACGGGCCUUCCCACUUUGGGCCAAGAGCGCCAUGAUUAGGAUCCCUGGUGUUCUGGUUCACCUUCCUAAGUACCCAAUCUCCUGCUCGGAACUGCCUCACGCGCACGUUCUUGUUGUAAUAACGCAUGACCCUUUGUUGGCACUGGGCCACUUUCUGCACUGCCCCUUCCCUUUUCUCCUCCAGCAGGUCCAGACUUAAGCAAAUCUGCUCGUCAUUUUGCUCCUUAGUGAAAUAUUCCGUCCGAUGUGUUCUCACUCCAACCUCUGCUGGGAUUACCGCCUCAUGACCAAAGGCUAAAGCGAACAGUGUUUCUCCUGUGGUGGUUUUGUGAGUUGUCCUGUAGGCCCACAGUACUCCUGGUAGCUCGUCAACCUAAGCUCCCUUCUUCUCUCCCAAUCUAGUCUUUAGGAGCUUCUUUAUCACCUUGUUGGCUGCUUCCACUUGUCCGUUUGCCUGGGGGUGUGCGGGGGUGCAGAACUUCAGGUCCACCCCCAGGUUUCGGCAAAAUUCCCUGAAGUUGCCGUUGUCAAAUUGCCUCCCAUUGUCCGUGAUGAUGGCGUAGGGGAUCCCAUAUUUGCAGAUGAUAUUCUUCCAAAUAAAAUCUGUUGUCUUCCUCUCCGUGAUCUGGCUGAGGACUCCUACUUCCACCCACUUGGUGAAGUAGUCUAUUGCCACAAUUGCAUGUGUCGCCGCUCCUCGUCCCUUAGGCAAUGGACCAAUCAAGUCGAUUCCCCAUUGAGCGAAAGGCCAUGGGGAUGUCAUAGCCGUCAGCUUUUCCGGGGGUUGUGCAGGAACCUCGGAGAAGCUUUGGCAUGUUUUACAAUUCUUUGCCAUCCUUUUGGCAUCCUGGUGCAUGGUUGGCCAGAAGUAUCCUUGCCGGAGUGCCUUGAAGGCUAAAGUUCUUGCUCCCGAGCGAUUGCCGCAUAUUCCCUCGUGAAUCUCUCUCAGCACAUAAUCCGCCUCCUCAUCAUCCAAACAUCUCAAAAGGGGCAAGGUGAACCCUCGGCGGUACAGCACUCCAUCCAGUAGCGUAUACCUUGCUGCUCGGCAUUUUAAUUUUCUUGCUUGCCUUUUGUCCUAUGGUAAAACUCCAUCGCGGACAUAUGCGCGAAUCGGGUCCAUCCAGGAUUCUCCAGUACUUACUCUCAUCACCUCUGCUUCUUCCUCAAUACUUGGUGAGGUCCUUACCUCUAGUGGAACUGACUUCGGUAACUUUGGAUCUGCAAUGGCUGCCAUCCUAGCCAGCAUAUCUGCUCGGAAAUUCUCAUUCCGGGAUAUCUGCUUUACCUCCACUGCUUGGAAAAGCCCAACCAUCUGCUUCGCCUUCUUUAAAUAAAGACCCAUCUUCUCUCCCCUUGCUUGGAACUGAUCAUUGAGCUGAUUACACACCAGUUGGGAAUCUGCUCGAAUUUCUACCCUCUCUGCUCUUAGAGCGUGUGCAAGUCCGAGCCCGGUGAUAAAGGCCUCAUAUUCAGCUUGGUUGUUUGUGAGCUGAAAGUCAAACUUCACUGCAUACGUUAUUUCGGUUCCUUCUAGGCUCUGUAUUACAACUCCUGCUCCGGAUCCUUGCUCACUACAUGAUCCGUCAACCAUUACCAACCACAACCCCUCUGGUUUCUCCUGCUCUGCUGCUUGCUCCUCCCGAAUUUCUUUCCCUGUAUCGGCUCGGUCAACCAUAAAUUCAGCCAGAGCUUGGGCCUUGAUUGCUCCUCGGGGCCUGUAAGAGAGGUCGAAUUCACUUAGCUCUACGGACCAUUUUACUAGUCGACCCGAUGCAUCUGGUUUUUGAAGUGUUUGCCGAAGGGGCUGGUCGGUCAUAACAAUAACCUGAUGGGCCUGAAAAUAUGGUCGAAGUUUUCGUGCUGCCGUUAUUAGAGCUAGCGCCCACUUCUCCANNNNNNNNNNNNNNNNNNNNNNNNNNNNNNNNNNNNNNNNNNNNNNNNNNNNNNNNNNNNNNNNNNNNNNNNNNNNNNNNNNNNNNNNNNNNNNNNNNNNNNNNNNNNNNNNNNNNNNNNNNNNNNNNNNNNNNNNNNNNNNNNNNNNNNNNNNNNNNNNNNNNNNNNNNNNNNNNNNNNNNNNNNNNNNNNNNNNNNNNNNNNNNNNNNNNNNNNNNNNNNNNNNNNNNNNNNNNNNNNNNNNNNNNNNNNNNNNNNNNNNNNNNNNNNNNNNNNNNNNNNNNNNNNNNNNNNNNNNNNNNNNNNNNNNNNNNNNNNNNNNNNNNNNNNNNNNNNNNNNNNNNNNNNNNNNNNNNNNNNNNNNNNNNNNNNNNNNNNNNNNNNNNNNNNNNNNNNNNNNNNNNNNNNNNNNNNNNNNNNNNNNNNNNNNNNNNNNNNNNNNNNNNNNNNNNNNNNNNNNNNNNNNNNNNNNNNNNNNNNNNNNNNNNNNNNNNNNNNNNNNNNNNAGAUGCUUCACAUGAUCCGUCGUCUCUUUGGACUUUGUAAUCAUAUCAUCCACAUAUACCUCCAUAGUGUAUCCAAUCAACGGUUUGAAGAUCUUGUUUACCAACCUUUGAUAGGUGGCUCCUGCAUUUUUUAGGCCGAAAGGCAUUACCCUGUAACAAAACAAACCCAUGUUAGUUAUAAAGGCAGUGCUUUCCUCAUCCUGCUCGUCCAUGGGUAUCUGGUUGUAUCCAGAAAAGGCAUCCAUGAAACUGAGCAGACUGUGACCUGCUGUUGAGUCCACCAGCUGAUCUAUUUUGGGUAGGGGAAAACUGUCCUUUGGGCAUGCCUUAUUGAGGUCCGUGAAGUCCACACACAUUCUCCACUUCCCGUUGGCCUUUUUUACCAGGACUACAUUUGAAAUCCAUUCUGGGUACUUGGCUUCCCUUAUAAAUCCUGCUUUCAACAACUUCUCCACCUCGGCGUUUAUGGCCUCGUACCUUUCCUGGUUGCAGCAUCUCCUCUUCUGUCUCACCGGCCUUGCCCCCUUCUUGAUUGCCAACUUGUGGCAAGCUACCCCGCGAUCAAUUCCGGGCAUAUCUUCAUGAGACCAGGCGAAUAUAUCCGCAUGAGACUGUAGGCAAUUUACCAGCUCGCCUUUUACUGCCCCAAUCAAUCCUGACCCGAUCUUCACUACUCUGCUCGGGUUGCUUUUGCUUAUCGCAACUUCCUCCAGUUUCUCAACAGGCUCUUGGCGGCCCUUUUUAGACUCUCCUCGAUUAUCUAGAGAAGUAACCUGUAGUGUCUCCUUGGCCGCCGUAGCUUAACAACUCCUUGCCACCCUCUGGUCGCCUUUUACUACGCCAACCACCCCAUUUAUUCUGUAUUUCAGCGCCAAGUAAUGCGUGGAUACAACGCAUUGGCUUAUCCUCAUGAAUGGUCUCCCCAGUAUCAUCUGGUAAGGGCUUCUUUCCUCUACCACGACGAAGUCCAGCAUCAUCGUUCUUUCAAACGGCUUUGUCCCCACAAUAAUCGGGAGUUCAAUGAUCCCCAAGGGAGUUAACUGUCCCCCUCCAAAUCCUUUUAAGGAAGUAUUUGUCCGUUCCAGCUUUAAAUCUGAAAUCCCCAUAUCAUCUAGGGCUGACUUAAAUAGAAUGUCAACUGAACUGCCCGUGUCCACCAGUAUUCGCCGCAAUUCUGUGCUAGCCACCGAUGCUUUAAUUACUAGUGCAUCCUCAUGAGGAUAUAAAAUACCCUCUUCAUCCUCAUCUGUCCACAUAAUGGGAACUUGUCGCGCUUUUGCCUUCUUGGUUGCUGGCAAAUUGAAAAGCACUUCUUUGCUAGUCAGGGCGUAUCUCCCAUAGUUCUUCCGUGCCCUGUUCGAAUCUCCGGCCAAUGUUGGUCCUCCUGCUAUCACACGGAUAGUCGGCUGUUCACGUUCCAGAUCCCUCUCAACUCCCUCAUCCCGUGUGUACUGUGAUUCCAUGACAGGGGAUAUUCCAUCUACAUACUCGUCCAAGUAUCGGUUCCUCACUAAAUCCUCCACCUGAAUCUUCAGGUCACGACAUUGGCUGAUAGUGUGACCGUGAGUGUCGUGGAACUUGCAUAAUCGGCUCUUAUCCCGUCGGUGAGUCGGUUUUAUUAUUGGGGCUGGAGGGUACAACAGGCCUCGUCCCUCGAUCCUCUCAUACAAUUCCUCCAUGGAGAUCUUUAGCGGAGUGUAUUGUCUAUAUGCCAAGCUCUGGUCUACCAGCUGAACUGCUCGGCUAUCAUGAACGUCACCUCGGGAUGGCAUAGUCGCUGACUGAUCUGGUCGUCUAGCCCUGGAACUGGUUACGUGUAAUGCUCUGGGAGUGUUAUGAUAGCGGUCGGCAGCCAUCUGCCGGAAUUCUCGCUGCCGAUCCGGGAAUGGGGGACGUGGAGGUUGAGCCCGGUUGUGCUGGAACUGUUGUGAUCUCGGAGUUAUGGGGUAAGGGCGGGAUCGAGCUGAUGUUCCGCCCCUUACUGAGGGUUCCCCAGCUCGCUUUCCCGACCCGCUCCCAUUUGGAGUUCUCAUUUCCUUUCGUCUCAGCUCCUCCAGCUAUUCACUCUUUAUCUUUGCCGAUUUUUCUUCUUCGAUUUCGAUAUCUCUCUUUGCCUGCUCAUAUCCUGCUGAAUAAUUCUGCACCAGGGGGCUUCUCAGGUUAUACCAUAGCCGGCCUAUCCUCACACCCUCCUUUAAACCCCUCAACACCUGCGGGUGAUUGAAAGCUCCCAAAUCAAGUACGGCUCGGUGGUAUCGCUUUACAAAAUCCCGUAGGGACUCGUGCUCCUCCUGUUUCAUCCCCAUCAGUUCCAUCAUGUCGUCCUCUAGGGCUACUGCCCCUCGGAACUGCUCGGCCAACUCCUGGCACAUCUGCUCAUACCCCUUUAUACUUCCUCCGGGCAGCUUGCGGUACCAUUCUCGAGCUCGUCCCUCUAGUGUCAACGGGAACGCCCUGCAUCUCUGAGCUGAUGUCAGCCCCUGCACACCCGUCAUAUCGUUGAAACGCUCAAUGUACACCAGUUGGUCACUUCGCCCGGAGUAUUUGAGGUUGGGGAAGCGGAAAUCUCUUGGGAUUAUGAUACCCAUGAUCUCGAUUGAUAACAGAGAUUCUUCAUCUAACAUUAUCCUCCAGCUCGGGGGCUUUCUCUUGCCUUGUAUCUCCUCUAUCACCUGCGCCAACCUGCGCACCUCCCCCUCCAAUUCUAUAGCACGGCUAGGAUCACGCGCAGCUAUCUGGUCUCGCUUCUGCUCAGCGUUCUGCAACCGCUGUCUGAGCUCUCCUUCAUCAACACUGGCACCUCGGCCAGUAGUUUCCAGUACCCAUCCGGGGCGAGUUUGGUCUCUCCCUUCAUCCCCGUGUUCUCCUGGGACCCGGCCAGUACUUCUGUGGGGAUGCACCCCAUUAGGUUGGUCUGCGGGCGGAGGAAUGUCCUCGACUCUACGUCUCCGGAGGCUGGGUUCUGCUCCGACUUCAUCUCUUCCCACGGGGGUUUCACAAUCCCUUCUCCGCUCAUCCCUCAGCUCAAACAAUAUGGACGUGAGAGUCUCCAUUUGUUUCUCCAUCCGCUCCAGUCUGUCUUGCAUCAUCCUCUCUCGGGCUUCAUUCGCAAUUUCCCGGAGAGUGAUUGUCUCCCCAGCCUCGUUAUCCUCCCCAAAAGCGUCCUUUCUCGUCACAUCCAUGUCCAACCGUUCGCUAUUUCUCCGGUACUUCCUAAUUCGGUGGUAGCUUUUUAUCCAGCUCCCCACAGACGGCGCCAAAAUGUUGAUGCUUAAAUCUGCUCGCCUUUAGACCGACCAGAUUCUUUCACCAACGUUUGUGUUAUCUACUGUUGCUCGUUCACUGGGAUUGGAAUCGUCCUUCUUUCUCACAAUAGACCUGCGCUCACCAAAAACGGAUCAGAGACGCCGGUGGUUUUGCCGGCGUAAACCCUCCGAUGCUUAAGUUAGCUCAAGGUGUUUACGGGAAAACAGUGCAAUUUAGAUCUCAAAAUGGUUUCUAAAUUAUUCGGAGUUUAUAAGAAAAUAGCCUGGUUUCAAUUUGGCAGCGUUUCCCCUCUCUCAAUUUUUCCAUCCCCUUCUUCAUCGAUUUCUUCUUCUUUUAUAGCCGAUGUCCCCACGUUCCCGCUUGCCCUUCAUCCCACCUUUUUCGGGUAGUGGUAGCCUCUCAUGGGGCUCUAACUGCUGCAUUAUGGGCAAACGUGGGAUCUCGCGUCUCCCGCAACGGUUCUGGGAAAGCACAACUACCGUGAUUCUGUGAGAUCGUGUUUCCGCUUUUCGGGGGACGGGUACCGGCUCGGUAUGUGGCUCUGGUCAGUAUUCGUCUCUGAUCGACUCAUGUUACCCCUGUUCUGCUCGUACCAUUUGGCUGAGGUGAUUCAUGCCGGGGUGGAAGUAGUAUCCUGGCCGACCUGGUGCUUUUAUUUGCUUAACAUUGCCCAAGUGGUAUGCCUUUGUGGUCGUAAUUUUCAUUUGCAUAUACGUUGCCGCGUUUGCCUGGUCUUGGGGUCCUCUUGGAUGGUUAGUGCGCAGUGAAAUUUUCCCACUCGAAAUCCGGUCAGCAGCACAAAGCGUGAAUGUUUCUGUGAACAUGGCAUUCACAUUUUUGGUUGCACAAGUAUUCUUAAACAUGCUUUGCCAUCUCAAGUUUGGCCUGUUCAUUUUCUUCGCAUUCUUCGUCGUGCUGAUGACCAUUUUUAUCCACUUCUUCUUGCCCGAGACUAAAGGAAUUCCAAUCGAAGAAAUGGGUCAAGUGUGGAAGAAUCAUUGGUUCUGGUCCCGUUAUGUUGGCCAAGAUGAUUUCCUCGCCAAUGGAGGCCUAGAGAUGCACAAAGAAGAAACUGAUGUCAACAAUGUCUGAUCUGCAUGCUCAACUCCAUCCGGAUUUUUGUUUAGUUUCUAUUUUUAUUUUUUAUAUUUUUUAACAGUAAGUAGUAGUAGUACAGUUAUUCUGUCGGUUUAUUAUUCUAGCCUUAUCAAUGCCUUUUCUAUUCGACUUUAGUAGUGUUUAUUACAAUUUCUAAAGAAAUUAAUUUCAUGUAAGUUUUUACUUUAAUCAUUUUCCUUGUUUGGGUUCUCUGUUUUUCCUUUUUUUUUUUUUUUUUCAUCAGAAAUCGUCACUCUUACAAUUUGGACCAAGAAAUUCUUCACACAGGAAUCUGAAGAAAAAUUAACAAGGAUUGAAAAUUUUGACUUAUUGUUUAUCUUUUUUUUUUCUUUUCUCUUUUCCGUCUUCUCUUCUCAUUAAACAGACAUUAAGGCAAAAUUAAUAAAUUAUUUUAUUAUUGGUCUUAUCGUGAGUAGAAAAUCAUUGGUGCAAAUUCAAUUAUUUAGAUCAACAGAAAUUUUGGGAUAUGAAUCAAUGAGAAAAUUUUAAGUAUUCCUAAAAUAUUAUUCCUAUUUUAUCGUGAGUAGAAUAUGACCACCUUAUAUUAACUCAAGCUUUUUAUUUAAAAUUUUAACAUAAAUUCUCAUCUAUAAACUUUGUGGCAAAAUCUUAAGUUGAAAUAGGGAGAAAAAAAUCUAAAGAAUGUAUAAAAUUUGUAGAAAGAAAAGCCGCACGUGAGAUAUGUCAAAAUCAAAAUUCAUCAAUACAUCAAAUUUCAUAUACAUGGCAACUUAAACUCGCACAGUUCAAUGUCAAAAUUUAACUUUUAUCAAAAAGUAACGUUGCAUCCUCAUUUUACCUUUAACUCUAAGAGGUGUUGCAAUGGCCAAAGUAGCCAGUCAAUCUUUCUUUUGACGUUAUUUAAUCAUUCUGUACAGCAGAACACCCAUCAACUACUCUCAUCCUGGCCAUAGCUGCCUGCAUUGAGGAGUUGCUAAAGUUUAACAAUGAAAAAUAAAGCAACGAAAAAAUAAAUUUAACUUGAAUUAAUCAAGAACCUGUUUUUUCCAGUUUGUGAAAGUUGUAGCAAGAGAAAGAAGGGUGGACUGCACAACAGAGCCAGCCACUAUUCCGAUCCAAAGUCCCUUUCCUCUUAAAUGUGCUACAAAACCCAACACGGCACCCACUGGCAACCCAACUAAAUAAAAUGCCCCAAGGUUUAUGUACACCCUAUAUGCUGCCAUCCACACCCUUUCGCAACCCCUAUUGCAAACGUAGAAUCCACCUUUAUUAAGAAAUGAAAAUUUGAACCGCAUUUGAAUCCCAGAUGUUUUGUGGUUUGUGUAUUCAAGAGAUAAUUACCAACUGAUCUAGUCAACACCAACCUCUUGGAUGUAUACUUUAUAUGUGUGUGUCUAUAUAUAUAUAUAUAUAUAUAUAUAUAUAUAGCAUGUAUCUAUUUAACUAUUACGACAUUUACCAAAUGAUAUAUAAGUCAACAGUGACUCUUCAGUCUCCCAUAUUAUUAUCCAACAAAGACUUUAAUUGAAAGAAGUGUAAUUAGAAAGCAACUACUAACCAGAAAAAACAGCUUGUAAGCUGUCUGUAAUAACUGAGAGACAAAUCAGAGGAGCCAUAACAACAACAUAAUGCACAACUUGGUUGUCUUUGGUGUAAGCGUAACCCAAAAAAUAGCGGCAGCAGAAGAGGAUCGUGCCGACUAUCACUGCCUCUACCACAGCAUAACUUGUUGCAGCCCAUACAGCCACUCUAGCUGCUUGCAGAUUCCCAGCUCCAAGCUCAUUUGAAACUCGAGUACUAUACAUGACAUAUAUAUUAACAUGCACAUAGUCAAAUGCUAGCCUGCUCCAUUUGUAUUAUUUUAAAAAAAAUGCAAAUCACAGGGAGCAACCAAAAGCAAGAAAAAAAAAAGACCUUGCAGCUACUCCAAAAGCAUAUGGUAUUGUGAAGUGCAAUGUUGAAAUUGUAAGGCUGAUCAUAAAACAACAACGAUUAGAAGCAUAUACAGUUUAAUUCUAGGACAAUUUAUAAGUCAAAAUUAAAUAGUUAUAACUAAAAUAGGAGCUAAUUACCAAAUUGAAAGUACUGAAGUCUCCAGCUUGGGAUUCGGUAAAAGGCCGGAUAACAAAAUUAAGAUCUCCAUCGACCACCAUUUUAGACUAAUUAAUCACCAUAAUCGAUCACAAUAAGAGAGAGACUUUUGAGAUUAAAAGAGAAGAAACAACACAAAAAGCAAAAUUACCAUUCUAAGAGAUAAGAGGAAUAAUUACCAAACCAUUAUGGCAGAAGGUAUAGCCAAGCGAAAGAACUGUCCAAUGGCUAGUAAAGAUUCUUUAGAAACCGGCGCGCGAGUUUUCUCACAAGCUGAGGAGUACAUCAUGUACAAUCCGAGCAGUAUCACAUUCAACCAAGUUGAUAGACUGAAGGCUAGAGCUGCACCCAUGCUUCCUAAUUCUAGUUUGAACACAAGAGUCCAGCACGCAGGUAUAUGAAAACAUAGAAUUAGAAAAGAACUUGCAAACAUGGGAAGAAUCAAGCUCUGAGUCUGAAAGUAUCGGGUUAGUGGUUUCAGGAUUGCACUCCCGAAUAAUGCAGGGAUUAGCCACAUUGAAUACUUGCGUGCUUCGUGGGAGAUUACAGGAUCUUGGCCUAUUAGAGGUAACAAUUUGUCCAUAAAAAUCCACAACAGGCAAACUAGAGGGCAAACAAGAAUCAACGAAAUUAUGGCAGUGUAAGUAUGAACUCCAAGCUUCCGAAAUUGUGCUGCUCCAUAAGCUUGCCCACAUAGAGUUUCCAAUCCACCAGCCAUUCCUGACUGCUUGGCAAGUCCAAAUUAAAUUCAAUCAUUAAUCAUCAAAAUUAUCUCUAGGAUUAAUUAAACCUGAAGAUGAAGGUAAUGUGAGUAGAGAGCAGCAAACUUACUAGAAGACUAAAGCCGGUAACAUUUGUGAGAGAGGUGGCAAUGGCUACACUAGACAGGGCAAGCUGGCUUAGAUGUCCCACCAUUACCGUUGACACAACUUGCAGAAGGUACUGCAACACAGAGACUGCCACCAUUGGUGCCGCGAUACGGCCAGUCUUCUUCAGCUCUUCCAUAAAUCCACCCCAUGUAAUUGCCCAUCUCUUCUCCUGGCUCUCUCCAACUUCCAUAUCCAUGCAAAAUUGAUAAAUGAUAAUAAUGAUGGUAUCUUAGUUUGCUUUGCCACUAUUAAUAAAAAGAGCCAAUCCAAAGAAACACGAAGUUUGUAUGCUGUCCUCUGUUUUGGCUUUACUUGAGAAUUCAAUAUUAACGAUUUUAUGUUUUGACUGUUCAAAAGAGCAUGCCGAGAGGUUCAAAUUAGUGGACUCUAAUUCCCAACUUUCUGUUGUUUAUAAUCAUUAUUAUACAUUCCCCACGAGCACGGCACAGACAUGAGUAAUGCGGCAAGGGUGCGUUUCGCACACUGCAUUGUAUUAUGUUGUAUUGCAUUAUUUUAAUAUUGGUGUAUUAUAUUAUGCUGUAUUGUAUUAGCAUUGUAUUAUAAUAAUGUUAUAUAAUGUUUGGUGUUAUACUGUACUGUAUUAUUUUUUUAAUUAAUUUAAAUUAAAUAUUAUAUUAUAUUAAUGUUUUAUAUUAUAUUAAUAUAUUUAAAUUGCAUUAAUAUUUUAUGUUAUUAUUUAUAUUAUUAUUAAUUUUAAAUUAAUAUUAUUCAAAUUUAUUCAUAUUUAAAUAUUUUUAUUAGUUAUAAUAAGUUAUAAAUUUAUUAAUAAAUUAUAAUGUAAAAAUAAAAAAUAUACUAUUAUUGAAUGAUAAAUUAUUAAUUUAUUAAUUAUAUUAAUAAUUAUAAUGUAAAAAUAAAUAAAAUAAAAAUAUUAUAUUAAAUUAAAAACCAUAUUUAUUUAUUAUUUUAAUAUUAUAAUAAUAAUAAAGUGAAAAGCAAAAUAAAAUUAAAAAAAAAAAAACAAAGCUAAUGCGUCAGUUGACGCAUUAGCCUCCCACCCCAAUCCCUUGCAAUUUUAUUCCAAACAUAGGUUUGGUAUUAUGUUAAUGUAAACAGUAUUAUAAUAUCCCCUUAAUACUAUAAUCAAACACACCCUAAGAUAAUUGCUGGUGUUUAAUCGGUCAGAUUUUUCAUCUUUUCUCGAUCUUUUGAAAAAUCAUAAUAAUGAUUAUAAUAGAUCCCCAGACACGUAGAUGGGAUUGAGAUUUUGUCUGAUAUGGCUUGAUUUGAAGUAUUUUUUUAUAUCUGCAAUUCUGCAUAUAGUAAGUACAAUCAUAUCUUCUGAGUGAUAGACUUCAUUUUUGGCCGUUCUGAACAAAAACUAUGUUCAAUGACAGUACUGAACUCUAAAUUUCAGUGGAAUAUAAUAAAGGAGAGGAAUAAAAAAGCAUAUUGCAAAUUGGAUGUACUCUCUCACAUCUGAAUCAUUUAAUAAUUGCUUUUGGAAGCACAUUUUUGACUAGUUACUACAUAAUAUCAGCUUAGAAGAAACAGAUGCGAUUCCCCUAGUGGCUUUCAAAUUGCAAUCAGUUGUACGCGAGCGAUUCCUUAACAGAUGAGAAGAAAGAAAAAUGGCAAAAAAGGAAAAAAAACAAUUCUGAUGUUUUCAGGAGUCAGUAGAUGCUGUUGAAAUACAUAUUUUUCACUGUCCUCCCCUUAACUAUGUUAGACUUUAUGUCUAAAUUCGCACUUGUCUCCCAAGAUUUUGAUGGACUGUUAACAUGGAUGACUAAAUGAAUAAAAAUACAUAGACGCCCCUGAUUUGAAGCAAAAUCACCAUGCCAGGAAACAAAACAGCUCGUGUAUAAAGAGAUGACAGUGUUAAUUUCGACAAAAAGAAACUGUGGGUUGGACAAAAUCCAUGAGAGGAUAGUGAAAAAUAUAUAUUUUGAUAUAAUGUAUAUAGUAUAUCAUUUCAAAACUCAAAAGUCGUUUCGUUCUUUAAAAAAAUUCCACUGCUUUAAAAUUAAAAAUCACAUUUAUAAUUAAUUUUUUUAUCAAGUUCUAAAUCCUUUUAUUUUGUCAACAUCCUAAAAUUAUAAUAAGAAUUAACUAUGCUUUGAUUGAUAAAACUAAUGGGGAUUUCGUUCUUAUUUGAUAAAAUCAAUAGUCAUUUCGUUCUUAUUUAAUGUGUUUCCAACUUGUGAGCAAUGGGAGGUAGAAAGCAAACUUGUCCACUUUCAAUUCCCAAACUCAUAAGAAUCAGACCUUUUUUUUUUCAAAUGAUCAAAUAAAUACAAUUGGCUACUUUGACAGACAGGAACAAUACAAGUGUCUUAACAUGUCGAUCAAAUGGCCAAAAGUAAGACGCAAUCCCUAAGUCUAACUUACAAUUGCUAAAAAUAACGUAAAAAUGGACCAGUAUCAUCAUUUUACCUCGUCUUUAAUGGUUGUCAGUUACACUAAAUAUAUUUUAAGGAGACAAUAAUAAUAAUAAUAAUAAUAAUAACAAUUUGAGUAGAAAUUAUCACGAACAUAUUCCUGCAUAUCUUAACAUCUUCAAAGAUAUGUGACUUAUUGAUGUGACGCUCCAUUUUAUCAAACAGUUGCAUCAGAAAAUUCUGAAGGGACUACAAAUGCCUUUUGAUGCAUAGAAGAUUUACAUUACUGACAAACCAAGGACAAAGCAGAAAGAAGCAAGUUUCGAUUUGUUUCUCAGCCAAAAAUCAAGUUCUUCCAUUAUCUUCUGUCUACUUCUUCCCCUAUUAACUCCAAUUUUUGCUCAGACCCUUGGUUUUGGAAUUGGGCAAGUAAUUGGAGGAGUCAAAGAGAAAGAAAGUAAACAAAAUAUAAAUAUAUAUAUCAGCAACUCCCUAGAUCUAAUCUGCUUCUGGCUCAGUUAGGUGAUCAGUCAUUAAGAUCUAUUGCCUCUCCACCUUCUUACUAGUACUCCCAGCCCUUUAGAGCAAAUUAUUAAACCAACCCUCGGAAAGUUCAGACACAUCCUUUGUAUUCCAACUGUGCAAGUGUAAUGUUAACCUAAGGUUCUCUUUCUUUUCAUUUGUAUGCUUGAAGAAAAAUCAACAAGAAAAUGCAAUACCAGCAGGUAUUAUUUGUAAUUCAUAUGGAAAUUAUCAUUAACAUAUGCCUACAUAUCGAAAUCUUCAAAAGGUUGUCAGAGUUUAUCCGCAGCAAUCCAAUCUAUUUUAUCAAAGACAGAAAAACUUAUGUUCAAGCAGAACAAUCAAAAGGGAAAGUAAAUGCCCGAAUUUUGAGCUAGCACCAAUAAAUUGAAGAUGUACAUUAUUGACAAGCCUAGAACAAUAUCAGCUUGAAAAGAAGCAGAUAAAAGCACAUAUUUAGACAAGAGAAACUUACAAACUACCUCAGUUUUUGUGCUGCAGUUGGGACACCAGAUGAACUCAAGUUGGCCCUUUCUGAAUCGUUUGCUGCACGAAAGCCAGCUGUAAUAAAUGUUACUAUUGAUCCCUAUGCCAGUACAAACUACCUCAGUUUUUGUGCUGCAUCCUACCACUUUCUGCACCGGCAUAGGGUUCAAUAAUAACAUUUAUUAAAGCUGGCUUUCGUGCAGCAAACGAUUCAGAAAGGGCCGACUUGAGUUCAUCUGGUGUCCCAACUAAAUAUCCUUUUCCCCCAAAAGCUUCCAUGAGCUUAUGAUAAGCUGCACCAGGUACAAAAGAAGUAGGUGCAGGAUCAUCUUUGAAAGGCCCUGCAAUUUCUUCAGGGUUUCUGCGAUCUCCACCAUACACACCACCAUUAUUAAAAACUAUCACGACAACAGGCAACUGAUAUCGAACCAAUGUCUGCAAAAUCAGAAGAAACAGAGACCACAUUAGUCUCUUUUUCCUCUCCCACCUUUUUCCAUUUAUUGGAUGAGGAUAUGCUAUACGUAUGAAUCAACUUUGGACUUAGACAAAGUAAAAUUCAUUUAUUCCAUUAAUUGAUUAACAUUGACACACUAUCUUCUAAAAAUUCAUUUAUUCCAUUAAUCAAUCUUCUAACUACACAGAUAUGCAAACAUCCAAGUGCGAGCACAUCACAAGCACAAAUUCUCAUUUUUCAUUCAGAAGGAAAGUGAAAAAGAGGGGGGGAAAAUGGAAGGUAUCUACAAUAAAAAACCCUCAUCUAAGUCACACAUCAAUGAAGAAUGCAAUAGAAGAAAUCUUUCCACUAAAUACAGAAAGAUGCACCAAGAACUACCCUUCUGAAAGCAAGGCAGCAAUUACGCAAGUUCGGAUUAGCUAAAACUAAAUCCGACAGUGGCCAUAUAGCAUUUGAUAAUUACAAGACUACUCGUUCACUAGAAUAGAACCAGCAUCAAAAGAAACUCAAAUAUCCAAAUCGUAAGAAAAUUAAGGAUAUAUUGAGAAAAGGAAGACACAGGGGAUAAAAGCCAUUUAGGAACCGUACCAUCAACUAUCGAUCCCUGAGAAAAAAGGAAAUGAGCUAGGAAACUAGAUAAAGUAAAACCUAAACAGUAUGUCCUAAAAUCAAGAAGCCAGACUGCCUGUAAUGAGCAAGCGAAGUUUUCCAAAUUUGUGACCAUCAUCCCAGUAAAUAAUGAAAUGCUUUAGAACGCAUGAUAAAGUUGAUGCUGGCACUCAAAGCUUUAAACAAGCAAGAUUUGACUUCCCAAACUAAGGUAGUCAGUCUCUCCCAUCAAAUAGAGAAGGAUCCAGUACAAGCUGAUGAUCAAAACUUAGAUUUGCCUAUAUCCACUUGAAACUGCAUCAGCCUUCAAAUUCUUCAAAAGUUAUUACCAUAGGAAGACAACUCACAAAUGUCCUAAAUCUUUAAAAUCUAAUAUUAGACCAUUGGAGAUGUGCCGCAGAUUUCAAUAUUAAAGCGAAAGUAGAAUAAAAUGGAACGCUAAAGAGAAUCUUAAAAUAACAAAAUAAUCAUAAAUGACUAGCAAUUUGCAUCAUGUUUGUUGAUGAAUUAAGGAAGUCAAGCAUGGUGUACAAGUUUAUUCUUGUGAAUAAAAUGUAUGCAUAAAUAUCGUUAUAUGCUAGAGAUCAUAAUUAUGCAAGAGAGCCAUACCUCAACCUCAACCGCACUGAACCCAAAUCCAGAGUCUCCUUCAACAGCAACCACAAGCCGUUCAGGGCAAGCUAUUGCAGCAGCAAUGCAAUACCCUAAACCAACCCCCAUGGUCCCCCAAGUCCCUGCAUCCAGCCUACAACGAGGCUCAGUUUGAACCAAUACUGCCCUACCCACAUCCAUAGUAUUUGCCCCUUCAGAUACCAAUAUAGGAGCGGGGCUCCCGACUCCUAAGAUCGCAUCUCUUAUAAUCCUCAUUGGCGUCAUGAAAUUAAACGGCACAACAUCCUUCACCAACUGAACCUCCAUUUUCAACACAUUGUCAUUCGUUUUCUUCCAAAUAGCCUCAACCCAAGGAUGAUUUUUCCCCAAACAAAAAGGUUCAUCUUUAAUCUCCUUAUUAAUCAUUUCCAACACUUUUUUAGCAUCUCCAACCAAACCCAAGUGUGGUUUCCUUAACUCAAUCUCUUCCUUGCAAACAUCAACCAAAACAAACUUCACAUCCUUCGACCACUUCGGUGGCUCACCAAAAUGCAACAACCAAUUAAGCCUCGCACCAACAACAAGCGCAACAUCACAUUGACCUAUGGCUAAUGACCUCGCAGCGGUAGCAGCAAGCGGAUGGGUAUCAGGCAACAGACCUUUACCCAUUGGAGUAGGCAAAAAUGGAAUCCCAGUGCUUUCAACUAAUUUCUUCAAUUCACCCUCAGCUCGCGCAUAAGCUGCGCCUUUCCCAAACACAAUCAACGGCUUCUUUGCUUCUUUAAGCAAAGACACCGCUUUAUCGAUAUCAGAAUUCACAAUCCCCCCUUGCGUCACCGUUUCUUUGGCACUCUCCGCUUCCUUCAGAAGCUUCUCCGCUUCAGAUACCGAUAUCGUUUGAUGUAAAACAUCAGUGGGUAGAUCCAAAUAACACCCGCCGGGCCGCCCCGAAACAGCUCGUUCAAGAACCUGAGCGACACACUUGGGAACUUCCGUAAUGUCCUUCGCUUUUACAGCAAAUUUCGAAAAAGGCUUGACGGCUUCCACUUGGUCGAGUUCUUGAAAAUCGCCGCGGCCAAAAUCUUUCUGAUCGCAGGAGCCGGAUAUCAUGACGAUUGGCCACGUGUUAAUCAUCCCAUUCGAGAGACCAGCCAGACCGUGCACGUAACCCGGACCGGAAACAGUUAACAGAAUGCCGGAUUUUCCAGUCAGGUAUCCGUAGGCGGAGGCGGCGUAGCCAGCGGACUGCUCAUUGUGGAAGGCGAUGAACCGGACGCCGAGCUGGACGGCCCGGUUCGCUAAGGAAGUAACGGGAAUGCCCACCACGCCGAACAUGUGGGUGGCACCGAAUAGUGACAAGGAUUUGGCCGCCAGGGUGUUGCCGUCGAUCUGGGCAUUUUGGGAAUUUUGCAACUCCGAACCCGCCAUUGCUUGCUAGAUGUGUGUGUUUGUGCUAAUGCCCGAGUGAGAAGUGGACGGGGCAAGGGUAAACAAUUUUUUUUUUUUUUUUUUACCACGAGUUAUUUUGGGGUGGAUUAACAGUGGGAGAUACUUCAAGUUCCUAUCAUAAUUUAGAGAGAGACACUUUUAAGUUCGUACCAUAAUUUAAAUUAAAAGUUUAAGUUCUCUUAAUAAAAAUAACUUUUCUAUAACUUAAAUUAAGGAAUAAAUUCAGUCAAACCACUUAAGAAAAAUUCAUUGUCAAUGGAACAACACUUUAUUGGUAACAAAUUCAGCUUUAGGUUGUUGAUAUAUACAUAGGUAAUGGACGAAAUGUCUAUCAUGCCCUUUCCGGCGAUGGUAGCUGGGACAGGUGCCAAUUUUUUUGCAAAUGCGACCAAAAUGGAUAGCUUCACCCAUAAAACGACAUAACUGGUAGUAGGUAUAGCGACAAUGCUUUCCCGAUUAUCAUUAUAUUUUUCUCUGUAGUUAUAAAUAAAGGUGACAAUUUGUUUCCAAAAGUAUCGUUAUUAAUCCUCAUCCGUUGAAUUAUAACACGUAAUUAUUACUUAGGGAUGAUAUUGCUUAAUCGGAAAGAAGGAUGUAAUAACUUUAAAAAAAAAAAUACAUAUGACAUAUAAGAGCAUCAUUAGAAAAUUCUUUUAAUUUAAUUUUUUAAAUACUUAUUUAUUUAUAUAUGUUAUAAAUAGAAGAGAGAAAAUAUCAUUUCUCAUAAGACUUUUCAAAUAAAAAUAAAUUUAUACUAUUUUACUCAAAUUUUUUCUUUCAUUAAAAUAAUAACAAUUAUAACUAUUCCAUCUCUUUAAAAGUAAUGAAAUAAAAAAUAAUAUAGUACGAAAUUAAGUGUUCUAAAAGACUCUCUAAAUAAAUUUUUUUAAAUUUCAAUAUGGACAAUUUUAUUUAAAAAUUAUUUAAAAACUCUUUUUAUUAACAUAACUCUUUAAAUAAAUAGUAAAUUUUCAUUAAAUUUUUUUUUUAAAAAUGUCUAUAACGAGAAAAAAAAUAUUAAUAGCAAGGGUUUGGCUAUGUUGGAGUUCACCUACGGUGGAGAACGAAUCUCAGCCACAUACACAAAAUGAUAAAGAAUAAAUAAUGAGUUAUAAUGAGUUUUUUAAUAUUUAUUACUUUGCGUGUGUGGUUGAGAUUCGUGUUCCACAGUAAGUGAACUCUAACAUAAUCAUAGCCUAACAACAAUUACCAAAUCAAAUCUUUGAGCACAUGAUUUUAUAUGGGCUUCUACAAAUUGUGGACAUCCAUAAAUAAAUUAGAGUUCAUAACCGAUUCUUGCUCUGACAUAUUCUGUUUAAUUUUUAAUUUAGAAUUUCUCAGUUACAAUUUACAACUCUUAUAUUCCUAUACAUGAAUUGCAAUGCCUUGGAUGCUUGUGUUGAAAUAUGAUGCAACCGAAGCAUGUGUGACGUUGUAUGACAUGUCAUGUAUAACGAAAAAAAAUGUACGACUUGUCAUCCUUAAACUAAAAGACACGUAUGACAAAAAAAAAAUGGUUAUCUCCAAUUUAUAUUUCCGAUUACAAUAGUCAUUGAUUCAGUGCUCAGCAAAGUUAAAUCCUAGUUCUAAUAAUAUACUCAGGGUUUUAUUUAUUUAUUUUGUAUUUUUAGAAAAAAAUAUUUGACUAACAAUCAUCAAGAUUGACUAACAUAUAUUACUUGACAACAAAUAAAGAAACUACUGCUCAAGAGACACUUUCAACAACGCAUAGACGUGAGGUAAAUAACAAGAGUGAAUAGACACUUAGGUAGUGUUUACUUGUUGUAGUAGGAGUAAGGAGUCUGGAUUCCUCCUACUCCAGUGUUUACUUACUAAUUUUAAAGGAGGAGUGAGAAUCCUACUCCUUGGGACCCACUUUUUUUUGGAGUGGGGAGUGGGAAUCCACUCCCCUCUCUUCCAUUUUUAUCCUAAUAUUUAAUUAAAUAAAAUAAAUAAUAUUUAAUUAAAUAAAAUAUUAUUAUUAUUUUAUUUUAUAAAUUAUACUUAUUAAAAAUAAUAAUUUAUAUUGAUUCUAAGUUAAAAUUACUUAAAAAUAAUAUUAUUAUACUCACAGAGAAUUAAUAAUAUUACUAUAUACUCUUUUUAUUUGAAAAUAUAAUAUUAUUAUAUUUAUUUAAAAAUAAUAGUAUUAUAUUUAUUUAAUAUUAGUAAUUAAUAAUAAUCAAUAUUUUAUUCUAAGAAAAUAUUAAUUUUGUAUUAUAUUAUUAAUAAUAAUGUUUCAUUUGUGUUGCUCUUAAUAAUAAUUUUUUAUUUACAUAAUUAAAAUUAAAUUUAAUAAAAAAAUAUUUACAUAAUUAAGAAUAUUAUUAAUUAUUAUUAAUUUAAAAAUAUAAUAAAAUAAAUAUUUUAUUUUUCAAAUCUAUUUUUUUAUUAAUUUUGUAAUUAAAAACUAUAAUUCUUUAAAUAAGGAUAAAACUGUAAUUUAAAAUCAUUUACUCUCAAUUCUAUGCUCUCAUUCCAGUGUAAGUAAACAACUUAUUCCCACUCCCACUCCAUACUCUACACUCCUAAUCCCAAAAUUCUCACUGCUCAUGAUUCCCACUCCAAUCUAAAAUGUAAACGCACCAUAAUUAAUUGAUUGAUAAUCGAAGUUCGAAGCCUCAGUGUGCUAACAAGCAGUAAAGUCAACAACACUAAGCUAUAAAUGGCAAACGUUAAUGCUCAUGAUGACAUCCAAAUCAAGUUCAGAAUCGUUGAACAUUUGAAAACAAUCACAACAGGAAGCUAUAAAUGGCAAAAGUAUGGAGGUGCCACUAUUGCCUGAGAGGGAAGAAGAGAGGAAAUGGGUGGUGGUGGUGCUACCACGGCUAUCCUUUUUGGAAGAGCUGAAGACGUUGAGCUUCUUAUCAGCGCCGCCGGCAGGGGUGGCCUGUUUUCGGUUCUUUUUGCUGGCUACAGCAACGAUGAUGGUGGGACACCUUGGAAAACUUUCACUUGAUAGUAUUGCCAUUGCUAACUCCUUAAUUAAUGUCAUCGGCUCCAUUCCACUUGUAAUAUUUUCUUCAUUCCCUUUUCUUUUUACCAUUAGAAAACUGCUUUACUUCUUCUUCUUCUUUGUUUCACAUCAAAGCAUGCUUCGUUUAUUUAAUCUAAUGACACUGCUUUGUAUGCCUUUUGUUUUGUAGCAAGUUAACAAUUUGCUUGUGCUCGCUAGAAAAUUGUUUAAAUGACUCAAUAUAAUCCACACAGCAAUAAUAUAACAAUAGCUAUUUUUAAAUCCAGAUCAACGACAAGCAACCACAACUAUAUGGUUAAACAAGUUAAAUCAAGCUCGUUUAGCUAUAAUAAGCAAUCAACUUUAGAACUUUAGCUUGACUUUCAUAGGUGAGAAUACCAAGCAGGUCUAUUUUGACUAGGCUAAGAUCAACAAAUUAAUAAACUUUGAUUAAUUAUUGGCGAAGAAUUAAUCAAUAUUACUUGGAAGAUAUUAAGAAACUUUGUUCACCUUUUCUGUCACUGGUCCAAAUAAUUUAUGAAGUACUUUUUUGAGCCUUUUUUUUUUGGAAAGGUAGUACUUUUUGAGCUUGAACAAGCAUUAUUAUAACUGAUCUUAGUUUACUCCAUAUUUUCCAUGCUACCGCUGUUUACAUAAAACGGAUUUUGGGAGAAUAGCAUAUAUUUCAUCAAUAAUCAAUUGAGACAUAUAAGAUUAGCCAACAAAAUGAUAUCUAAUGUGGACAAUGCCAUUAAAUUUUGAGCAGUUUGGUUUUGCCUCUGCAUUAGAGACUCUAUGUGGACAAGCUUAUGGAGCAGAGCAAUAUCAAAAGAUUGGAACCUAUACUUACCCUGCUAUGUUCUUUUGCAUUGCAAUUUGUAUCCCCAUCUCUGUUCUUUGGAUAUUCAUGGACAAAGUACUAAACUGCUAGGCCAAGACCCUGAUUUUUUUGUCGAAGCCUGCAAUUACGCAAUUUGGCUCAUACUGACAUUAUUUGGCUAUGCUAUUCUUCGAUCACUAUCUCACAAUCUCCAGGCUCAGAGCUUGAUUCUGGCAUUGUUCUUAAGCUCAUGUGCAACUCUUUGUUUGCAAAUUCUUCUUUGUUGGGGUCUAGUAUCUAAAACAGACUUUGGAAAUACAGGAGCAGAAUUAACCAUAGGUAUUUCUUAUUGGUUCAAUGUGAUCAUCCUUGCACUUUACAUGGGAUAGAACUCACACGGUGAUCACCAAGGAAAUUUUCCCUAGCACGAAGGAGUUCUCCUUCUUUGCACACCUUUCAGUUGUAAUGUUUUGGUAAUUUGCCUAUCGUACUUUGCAAUGUUUUUGUUAGUUUUCUGUUCUUAUAAAUUGACUUACAGUGUGCCUUUUGUUUCCAAUAACUAAAGUCUCGAAUGGUGGUCAUAUGAGAUUCUGGUACUGCUGUCUUGAAUAUUACCAAAUCCAAAACUUGAAACAUCAGUUCUUACAAUAUGGUACGUAUCUACACUUACGGUUUUGACUUUUGAGUAAACGGGGAAAAUUCUCAGUAGGGUUGAAUUGAUUUCCUUUGCUCUUCAUAUGCAGCGUUACAAUCCAGUCAACACACCAUUUUAUGCCAUUUGGUAUUAGUGCUGCCGCAAUGUUUGAUCUAUAUGUUGUUUCAAAAGCAUGCACUUACGAGUAAAUGAAAUAAUUCAUUACCUACUAGUUAAAAAAACCCUGAUUAAUUCUGUGUACUGAGCUGUAUCGCAAUCCACCGUUGUGCAGCACUCGAGUGGCAAAUGAAUUAGGAGCUGGAAAUCCAGAACCAGCUCGAUUGUCUACAUGUGUCGUGAUAUUUCUUGCAGUUGCAGAGGCAGCCAUAGGAAGCGUAGCUCUAUUCUGCUGCCGCAAUGUUUUGGCAUAUUUGUUCAACACUGACAAGGACGUUGUGAAUUAUGUGUCUGAAUUAGUUCCUCUGCUUAGCACUGCCAUUUUCAUGGACAGCAUGCAAUCAGUACUUUCCGGUCAGAAUCCCAUCAUUCUGUCAGGACUUUUAUUUUCACUCUUUUCACUCAGCUAGUGCUUCAGAGCUUGAAAAAGAUUUGAUGAUUUAUUUCUCACCAUUCACUUUCCUUAUCACAAGUAGCUAGAGUAAUUGGGUGACAGCACAUAGGAGCUUACGUAAAUCUUGGUGCAUUUUAUCUUGUUGGAAUUCCGGUAGCAUCUGUGCUAUGUUUUGUUCUUCAUCUUAGAACAAAAGGCCUUUUGCUCGGAUUAAUCAUUAAUGCCAGGCUCAACUGUCGCAAUUGCGCUCGCCAUCGUUACUUCUUUAACAAUUUGGGAAAAACAGGUUUCUAUUUCAUUUCACACUUUUUUCAAAUUAUCUGCUUCUUCAGCAGUGAGUUAUCCUUUAAUUUUGCUGGCUGACAUUGAUCUUUCAUGUGGAUAUCUUUCCAGGCUACCUUGGCCAGAGAGAGAAUAAUUAAGGGAGCAUCUUCAACUGAUAAUAGAUCGGUUCGAUGCAAAACGUAAUUAAACAUUUUGUUUCCAUCGUAUCAAAAUUUCUUAGGAUGUGAGCUGCGAGUAUAUACUGUUACAAAACCAAGACCAAUUUUGGACAAUGCUAUUGUUGUGGCAAUUAAUUUAUCGAAAACUUGGUGUGCAGAAGCAAACCCAAGAAUUUUAAGAGCAAACAAUGUCCAAAUCACCAAUACAAUCAAUUUUGUGAAAUUGAUUCACAAGGCUACGUCCUCGGAUAAUUCCUAGAUUUACCAUGAAAUUUUACAUUUAAAAGAAGCAUGAUAAACAUCCUUUAUUUUAAAAUUAUGGAUUCUCUCAUGAUUUAAAUUCUCGUAGGAGCAAUUCAUAGUGGUGAUGGUUAUUAAUAUAUAAAAAUGUAAUGAUAGUUUAGUUUAAUCCCAACCAUUAUUUGUGACAAACACUUGGCGCAAGAUCUUAGACUCUUAAAUCGAAAUGAAUAAAUGUUUUAAACCUCAGUCGCAUUUAAACUUGUAUAAACUAAAAAUAGUCAAUUUCUAUUUUAAAUAAUCACAUUUAAGAUAGUUUAUGUGUUGAUCAAAUACUUGUUUAGACUUGUUUAGGCUUUCAAACUAUAUAUGUUGAUCAAAUACACUGAGUAUGAGAUGUGGCUUGCAAAACAGCUAAGGCAAAAUAGUCCCCAAAUAAUUAAACCAGAUUAAUUUCCACAACUGACAAAUAGAAGUGUCGUACAUUUUUCAAAGAGCGUGUCUUAAUCGUGCCGAUUAACAUCCAAAAUGUCUUUGUUAUUAGUCGAUUACUACUAGCUAUUAUUGUUAUUAUUAUAACAGUUACCACGAAAACAUCGUCGAGAUAUUUCAUCCAUCUCACCCCAUUUUCAUGCACAAAUAAAUUGAAAAAGAAAAAUCACUUAUGAAUGAUGAGAAUCGAGCCUCUUGCAACAUAUCUACAUGGUAUAUUUUAACCAGGCACUGAGUGUAGCUAGGGACAACAUGCGAUGGUCAGCCUCUUGCAACAUACCUAAACUUCAGUAUGAUUGGUAAUCAACAAAAGUACUAGUCAAUCUUGACUUCAAACUCAAGGGAAGCAUCUUUAUCCGAAUUAAAGAGAUCCAGUCUAUCAUUUAUUGUUGUAUUGUUAGCAUACAAUUAUUACCAGAGAAUACAAGCAUAUAGAGGUUCUGCCCGAGGCUGAGAACGAAGAAGAGAAGAAGAAAUGGGCGGUAACACGGCGAGCGUUUGUGCAAGAGCUGAAGAAGGUGAGCUUCUUGGCAGCGCCUCUUGCCGGGGUAACUGUUUUUCAGUUGCUUUUGCCGGCUGUAUCAACGAUGAUGGUGGGACACCUUGGAAAACUUUCGCUUGCUAGCAUUACCAUCGCCACCUCUCUCACCAAUGUCACUGGCUUCACUCCACUCGUAAUUUUUUUUUCUUAAUUUUUACCAUUAAAAUGCCCUUCUAUAUAGGGCGUUACUUUUGAUUCUAUUUUCUUUUCUUUACUUUAGCUUGACUUUCAUGGGUGAUCAGAGCAAUCAACUUGAUAAAAUAGUAAGGGUAUAACAAAGGUUUUUCAUCAAACAAACAGUUUUAUAUACGUAUUUAGCUUAAAAGCUAUAGCUGCUAGGAAGCAAUACCAAAAGGAGUCUGAAUAUAUAAUUCGCUAUACCAUUCCACUCACCAGAGCGAAUAAUAUUUUCAUGUUCUGCUUGAGUUUGAACAAGAAUUAUACUCUAACUAACCAUUUUGGUGUGCUACUGUACUUAACUAGAUUUGCGAUAAUUGCUUAUAUGUUUCUUCUUUAUUUCAAUCUGUUAAGAUUAGCCUGCAACAUGAUAUCUUAGUAUUUGUGUUUCUGAAUCAGUACAAACUUGUCAAAUACAUGUAUAAUGUUGACGUUAACUUUAAAUUUUGAACAGUUUGGUUUUGCCUGUGCAUUAGAGACUCUAUGUGGACAAGCUUAUGGCGCAGAACAAUAUCAAAAGAUUGGGACGUAUACUUACUCUGCUAUGUUCUUUUGCAUUGCAAUAUGUCUCCCAAUCUCUGUUCUUUGGAUAUUCAUGGACAAAAUAUUAAUGCUGCUACACCAAAACCCUCAGAUUUCUGUUGAAGCCCGCAAUUAUGCAAUCUGGCUUAUACCAGCAUUAUUCGGCUAUGCGAUUCUUCGAUCACUGUGUCACAAUCUCCAGGCUCAGAGCUUGAUUCUAACAUUGUUCUUAAGCUCAUGUACAACUCUAUGUUUGCAUAUUCUUCUUUGUUGGGUUCUAGUGUUUAAAGCCGACUUUGGAAGUACCGGAGCAGCAUUAUCCAUUAGUAUGUCUUAUUGGUUCAAUGUGAUCAUCCUUGCUCUUUACAUGAGACACUCUCCAUCGUGUACAAAAACUCGCACUUUGAUCUCCAAGGAAAUUUUGCCUUGCAUGAAGGAGUUUACCGCCUUCGCUCUCCCCUCGGUUUUCAUGUUUUGGUAUAAUUUGUCAAUCUCACUUUGCAAUGUUAUUGUUAGUUUCUGUUAUUAUUGGUUUACUUACAGCGUGCUGUUUCGUUCCCAAUAAUUAUAGUCUUGAAUGGUGGUUCUAUGAGAUUCUGAUAUUACUGUCGGGACUUUUACCAAACCCCAAACUUGAAACAUCAGUUAUAUCUAUAUGGUACACUUCUGACAUCACUUGUGGUUUGCUUUUGGUGAAUUUUUUGGGGAAACUCUCAAUAGGGUUGAAUUGAUUUUCUUUGAUCUCCAUAUGCAGCUUUACAAUCCAGGCAACACACUAUUUUAUACCAUUUGGAAUUGGUGCUGCCGCAAGGUUUGAUCUAUGUCCUAUUUCAAAAGAGAUGCAAGUGGCAUAUGCAUUAUUUCUGUGUACUGAGAUUUUCUGUAGCAUUCGAGUGUCAAAUCAAUUAGGAGCUGGAAAUCCACAGCCAGCUCGGUUGGCUACCCGUGUUGCGGUGGCUCUUGCUGCCGCAGAGGCAGCCAUAGUGAGCAUAGCUCUAUUCUGCAGCCGAUAUGUCUUGGCAUAUGCAUUCAACAGUGACCAGGACGUCGUGAAAUAUGUGUCUAGAUUAGCUCCUCUGCUUAGUAUUGCUAUAUUCAUGGACAACAUGCAAUCGGUACUUUCCGGUGAGAAUCCUAACAUUCUAUCAGGAUUUAUUUGCACUCAUCUAAUGCUUAAAUAGCAGUGAACAUGCAGCUAAUAAUUUAAUUUUCGCGAAUUUACCUUUCUCGUCAGGGGUAGCUAGAGGAAUUGGGUGGCAGCACAUAAGGGCUUAUAUAAAUCUUGGUGCAUUUUAUCUCGUUGGAAUCCCGGUAGCGUAUGUGCUAUGUUUUUCAGUUCAUCUCAGAACGAAAGGCCUUUUGCUUGGAUUAAUGUCAGGCUCAACCGUACAAGCAGUUGCGCUUGCCGUCGUUACUUCAUUAACCAAUUGGCAAAAACAGGUUUCUGUAAUUCAUUUUUACUUUUGUUCUACGUGUUUGUUUCUUUGACAAUAUAUUAAUCAUCCUCUAAUCUGUUGGCUGACACUGAAUUUUUCAUAAUUUCAUGUGGAUAUUUUUCCAGGCAACCAUGGUCAGGGAAAGAAUAUUGGAGGGAGCACCUUCUACUGAAAAUCCAUCGGUUUGAUCCACCUGGGCUAGUAAUUAAUUACCCUGUUUUGUUUUUCAUCGUAACAAAUUACAUUCUCGAGACGAGAGCUGUAAAAUUUAACAGUGCUGGCAUUCUGACAAGCACCGGGUGACAAUUAUCGAACAGUUGGUAAGCAGAAGCAAAUAAACCCAACAAUAAGCACUAAUUUUUUAUAACAGCUAGUCAGCUACCACAAACAAUUUUUUUUUUCUUUAUAAUGAACUUCAGAAGAGAGAGAGAGGGGGGUAAAAAGCUAUAAUAAUAAUUAAAAAAAAAAAACUUAGAAAUAACUCCUAAUAAUAAUAAUAAUCAGGUGGAUCAUAGUACGCCACUACGCCUUAUAAUUCGUAAUAAAAGUAUACUGCUGAAACAUAAAUUUAAAAAAAAAAAAAAAAACACUCGAUGAGAUAACAAUACAAAGAAACAGCUAAACCAAUUAUUUAGAAAACCAUAUUUGCAUACCACAAACUAAUUUAAAGAUAACGUACGAUAUAACAGCAGUAGCAGAAAUAAGGUUGAUACAAUAAUUAAUGAAGCUCUACGCUACACCAAUUAGUGGUACCAUACCAUGCAUGAUCCAUCACACAGAGGAAAAAGAAAAAAAAAAAAGAUUUUAUUUAGCUUACUAUAUAUAUACGUAUUGCCAGCAGCCUGCAUGCUAGUACGGGGGAGGGGGAGGAUGAGGAGGGCGGUUCCAAGGCGGCGUUGGCCUGUAGGGAUCAUAGUUAUAAGGAGGUGCGGGACCGGGGGGGCCCGGAGGCGCUGCAAAAGGAGGGGGUGGAGAGUGAUGGUGAUGGUACCGAGGAGGUGGUGGAGGAGGCGGAUGGAACAAUUCGGGGCGGGGUGGCGGUGGUGGUGGAGGUGAAGGACCGUAAACGUGAGGUGGCGGCGGUGGGUGAGGAGCAUAUGGAUCUGCUGCCGCUGGUGGUGGUGGUGGUGGUGGAGGACCUGGACCUGGACGGUGGUGUCUAUGAAAUGCCAUGUUUUUGAAAGUUAGGUGAUCAAUACAAAGUGCUGUGCUGUUGUUUUUGUUUUAAGGGAUUUGGAGUUGUUUGUAUGUAUUUCCUUUGACGGUUCGUCGGAUGACGUGCCCAUGUUUGUGCCUCGGCUUCCUCAGCCAAUCAGAUUUUUAUUUUUGUCAAAAUUCGUUUCGUCUCCUCAUAUACUCCGUUUCAAGAGUGCAUCAUAUUU
rnacentral:lncRNA from 1 species